UUGGGUUACUCAGAUCGAACGGGAUUCCACGGCGAAUACCGGUGUAAAAUUGAUCGUUUCGUCAAAGCUUGUCGCGAUAGUUUUGGAGUUGGAGUGCGUGGGUGUGGAUCGGAAUCAUAUGAGUUGAAGGUUUUCACUCGAGGCGGGGUUUGUCCAGUAGUAAGCAAGAAUUUUCAAAUUUCACCAACUCAAAAUCGCGACCUUCCACAAGUUCACAAACUCGCACGAAAUUCUCACGCACGACUCACGAGCGAGGGGGAAAAAGUUCUGUCGCCGCGGCGCGAUCACGAUCCCGACUGUGUGUGUGUCUCGUUGCGCAGGCAAACAUCAUCGCAACGACGUUCGACGCCGCGACAAGGAUGACAACCGCGACUAAAAUAACUAACUCUGCGAGUCAAAAGAGAGGAAAACCGGUGAAGAGAGAAAACGCCAACAACAACCGUUGGAAAUGGGUUAUUGGGAAUGGUGGAGGGAUUGAAACAUUGAAAAAAUAAGAAAAAUAUUUUUCAAAAGCUUUUUAAA